UACAGAGGUCUCAACCGUUGUUCGGAUUCGAUUGGGCGUAAAGGGCGCGUAGGCGGCGGUUCAAGUCGGGGGGUGAAAUCCCGAGGCUCAACCUCGGAACUGCCUUCAAUACUGGAAGUCUUGAGUCCGGGAGAGGUGAGUGGAACUCCGAGUGUAGAGGUGAAAUUCGUAGAUAUUCGGAAGAACACCAGUGGCGAAGGCGGCUCACUGGCCCGGUACUGACGCUGAGAUACGAAAGCGUGGGGAGCAAACAGG
rnacentral:rRNA from 1 species